rnacentral:lncRNA from 1 species
CCUGACACCAUUGAUGCAAGCUCUGGCUGAGACACGCUCCAUCAAUAGCAGUGCGAGGCACCAUUUAGCAGGAGCUUCCUGAUGCAGAGCUUUUGGAGAAUUCAAGGACUCACUCUGUCAUCAUCAUCAUCAUCAUCAUCAGGAGUGCCUGUUGCCAUUGCUGAGUCAAAAGAACUGAAUUGGAGCUGGACCGGAAACAAAUGUGAAAGAGCCUAAGAAUGUCACAGUGAGAGGGGGCAGCUCAGAGCUCUAGUCCAUGUCCCUCAAGUGAAGAGGAAACCAAAACCCAAAGCCACGAAGUGACCAGCCUGAGGGUAACACCUGGAUGAUAAUUCACAUUAGUGGGUGGAGGCAGAAGACAGGCAAGGCAUCAAGGCCUCUGUGUUCCAAGAACUAGAGCCAGUGUUGGAGCAUACAUCCUCAGUUGGCCUACUUGUGGAAUGGAGCGCAGGAAGUUCAGCCAACACAGGCCACACGCUGCUGCUGGGGAGGAAACUCUUGCCAGCUACUCCCAUGGAAACAAGAAGCCCUGUUGAGACCACUCUGGAGCCCCAGCCAAGUCAAAAACAAUGCUCCUGUCCUGGCCUCAUCUUGCCUAACGUCCUUCCCUCCCAGCUGGCUGCUUGGGCACAUCACCUCUCAACUAACUGUUUACCCAACUCUACUUCAAACAGAAAAUGCCUAUUCCUGUUGGUCUAAUAAAAUUUCAUCUGCUUUUUCCAAGCCCCAAGGCAGAAGCAAUUUUGGUAAAAUGUGCCCAAUAGCACUAAUC